CACGUAGGGGGCAAGCGUUGUCCGGAUUUAUUGGGCGUAAAGAGCUCGUAGGCGGCUCGGUAAGUCGGGUGUGAAAACUUGCGGCUUAACCGCAAGCCUGCACCCGAUACGGGCGGGCUAGAGUUCGGCAGGGGAGACUGGAAUUCCUGGUGUAGCGGUGAAAUGCGCAGAUAUCAGGAGGAACACCGGUGGCGAAGGCGGGUCUCUGGGCCGUAACUGACGCUGAGGAGCGAAAGCGUGGGGAGCGAACAGG
rnacentral:rRNA from 1 species